UACAGAGAUCUCAAGCGUUGUUCGGAUUCAUUGGGCGUAAAGGGUGCGUAGGUGGUGAGGUAAGUUGGAUGUGAAAUCCCGGGGCUCAACCCCGGAACUGCAUUCGAUACUGCCUUGCUCGAGUACUGGAGAGGAGACUGGAAUUUACGGUGUAGCAGUGAAAUGCGUAGAUAUCGUAAGGAAGACCAGUGGCGAAGGCGAGUCUCUGGACAGUUACUGACACUGAGGCACGAAGGCCAGGGGAGCAAACGGG
rnacentral:rRNA from 1 species